AGCAGUCGCCGCGGUAAUACGUAGGGUGCGAGCGUUAAUCGGAAUUACUGGGCGUAAAGCGUGCGCAGGCGGUUAUAUAAGACAGAUGUGAAAUCCCCGGGCUCAACCUGGGACCUGCAUUUGUGACUGUAUAGCUAGAGUACGGUAGAGGGGGAUGGAAUUCCGCGUGUAGCAGUGAAAUGCGUAGAUAUGCGGAGGAACACCGAUGGCGAAGGCAAUCCCCUGGACCUGUACUGACGCUCAUGCACGAAAGCGUGGGGAGCAAACAGGAUUAGAUACCCCCGUAGUCCCUGUCUCUUAUAC
rnacentral:rRNA from 1 species